AGAGUUUGAUCCUGGCUCAGGACGAACGUUGGCGGUGCGCUUUAUGCAUGCAAGUCGAGGGAUAUACAUUCGUUCCGUAAGGUUCGGAUGUGGAAACCGGCGAACGGGUGCGUAACACGUGAGAAACCUACCCCCUAGACCGGGAUAGCCCGAGGAAACUCGGAUUAAUACCGGAUACUCUCUUUGGAUCGCAUGAUCCGUUGAGGAAACAGUCCGCUGCUAAGGGAUGGUCUCGCGGCCUAUCAGGUAGUUGGUGAGGUAACGGCUCACCAAGCCUAAGACGGGUAGCUGGUCUGAGAGGACGAUCAGCCACACUGGAACUGAGACACGGUCCAGACUCCUACGGGAGGCAGCAGCAGGGAAUAUUGCACAAUGGGCGAAAGCCUGAUGCAGCGACACCGCGUGCGGGAUGACGGCCUUAGGGUUGUAAACCGCUUUCAGGAGGGAAGAAAAUGACGGUACCUCCAAAAGAAGCUCCGGCCAACUACGUGCCAGCAGCCGCGGUAAUACGUAGGGAGCAAACGUUGUCCGGAUUUAUUGGGCGUAAAGGGCUCGUACGCGGUUCAACAAGUCGGUCGUGAAAGCUCGGGGCUCAACCCCGAGAUGCCGGUCGAAACUGUUGUGACUAGAGUUCGGUAGAAGUGAGUGGAAUUCUCCGUGUACCGGUAGAAUGCGCAGAUAUCGAGAGGAACCCCUUUG
rnacentral:rRNA from 1 species